rnacentral:rRNA from 2 species
GCAUAUCAAUAAGCGGAGGAAAAGAAACCAACAGGGAUUGCCCUAGUAACGGCGAGUGAAGCGGCAACAGCUCAAAUUUGAAAUCUGGCUUCGGCCCGAGUUGUAAUUUGCAGAGGAAGCUUUAGGCGCGGCACCUUCUGAGUCCCCUGGAACGGGGCGCCAUAGAGGGUGAGAGCCCCGUAUAGUUGGAUGCCUAGCCUGUGUAAAGCUCCUUCGACGAGUCGAGUAGUUUGGGAAUGCUGCUCAAAAUGGGAGGUAAAUUUCUUCUAAAGCUAAAUACCGGCCAGAGACCGAUAGCGCACAAGUAGAGUGAUCGAAAGAUGAAAAGCACUUUGAAAAGAGGGUUAAAUAGCACGUGAAAUUGUUGAAAGGGAAGCGCUUGUGACCAGACUUGCGCCGGGCUGAUCAUCCGGUGUUCUCACCGGUGCACUCUGCCCGGCUCAGGCCAGCAUCGGUUCUCGCGGGGGGAUAAAGGCCCUGGGAAUGUAGCUCCUCCGGGAGUGUUAUAGCCCGGGGCGUAAUGCCCUCGCGGGGACCGAGGUUCGCGCAUCUGCAAGGAUG